CCCUUGCGUGCUGGAUAUUUAAUCUCUCCCGGUAUUUGUGACAGUGACAUUUGAUAGACGUCAAGUUUUAUUUUUGUUUGUAGAAAUGGAAUAUUUAUAUAGCUUGUACGUUAUUAUUAUUUAAUUUCUAUAAAAUGGUAAUGUGUUGGGUACCCGAAUGGUUAUCAUUGAUAUUGAAAUCUGUAGAACGGAGUAAAACUACUCAUUAUAAUUAUGUUGCUGCUACUUUUAUGAAGAAGAUAAAGAAAAUCUCUCACCAUAUUUUCAAAUAGAACUGGUGAAGAUGCUGAAGAAAUGUAGUAGCACUAUCUUGUGUUUAUUUCCUUGAUUUUGUGUAAUUUAUAAGAUUGAAAGCAAUAUGAUAUGACUAACAAGGCUUGUGUCUAUAAAAAAUGUGUAUCACAGUGUGCAAACUACAAGUACGAGCAUUAAAUCUCAGAAAUGUUUACCACUGUUUUUUUUGGUUUUAUUCAAUGGAUUUAAUGGAUUGUAGAUGUAGACUCUCUACAUCUUCAUUACCACUUGAAAGUCAACCAUAAUCAUCUCAUUCAAGUGGUAUCACAUCAAGUAGUGCACAACAAGACAGAAAUGUAUUUUCUUGAAUAAGAGAAUACUCGGCUGAAACUAAAAUUAGAUAAUUUGUCAAAUAUAGAUUUCCAUUUCAGCAUAUCAAGAACGAUAAUAAUUUAGUGAAAGUGUACAUGGGAAUAACAACUACUGUAUAUUGAAAUACUGAUUAAUAUUUAAUAUGCUAAGUAAUAUUCAGUUAGAAUAUUAUCAUGGAUGGGUGAAAUAUAAUUUUCAAAAAAAAAAAGAAUGUUGUAUUUUGUACGCACCUAAGAAGUUAUACUUCUAUUAUAUGAUUUCAAUGAAAUAAACAUUUUAAAUAGUG